rnacentral:rRNA from 1 species
AGUGAACGCUGGCGGUAGGCCUAACACAUGCAAGUCGAACGGCAGCACAGUAAGAGCUUGCUCUUACGGGUGGCGAGUGGCGGGCGGGUGAGGAAUACAUCGGAAUCUACUUUUUCGUGGGGGAUAACGUAGGGAAACUUACGCUAAUACCGCAUACGACCUACGGGUGAAAGCAGGAGAUCUUCGGAUCUUGCGCGAUUGAAUGAGCCGAUGUCGGAUUAGUUAGUUGGCGGGGUAAAGGCCCACCAAGGCGACGAUGCGUAGCUGGUGUGAGAGGAUGAUGAGCCACACUGGAACUGAGACACGGUCCAGACUCCUACGGGAGGCAGCAGUGGGGAAUAGUGGACAAUGGGCGCAAGCCUGAUCCAGCCAUACCGCGUGGGUGAAGAAGGCCUUCGGGUUGUAAAGCCCUUUUGUUGGGAAAGAAAAGCAGCAGGUUAAUACCCCGCUGUUCUGACGGUACCCAAAGAAUAAGCACCGGCUAACUUCGUG